GAGGGAUGACGGCCUUCGGGUUGUAACCUCUUUCAGUAGGGAAGAAGCGAAAGUGACGGUACCUGCAGAAGAAGCACCGGCUAACUACGUGCCAGCAGCCGCGGUAAUACGUAGGGUGCGAGCGUUAUCCGGAAUUAUUGGGCGUAAAGAGCUCGUAGGCGGUUUGUCGCGUCUGUCGUGAAAGUCCGGGGCUUAACCCCGGAUCUGCGGUGGGUACGGGCAGACUAGAGUGCAGUAGGGGAGACUGGAAUUCCUGGUGUAGCGGUGGAAUGCGCAGAUAUCAGGAGGAACACCGAUGGCGAAGGCAGGUCUCUGGGCUGUAACUGACGCUGAGGAGCGAAAGCAUGGGGAGCGAACAGGAUUAGAUACCCUGGUAGUCCAUGCCGUAAACGUUGGGCACUAGGUGUGGGGACCAUUCCACGGUUUCCGCGCCGCAGCUAACGCAUUAAGUGCCCCGCCUGGGGAGUACGGCCGCAAGGCUAAAACUCAAAGGAAUUGACGGGGGCCCGCACAAGCGGCGGAGCAUGCGGAUUAAUUCGAUGCAACGCGAAGAACCUUACCAAGGCUUGACAUGUUCUCGAUCGCCGUAGAGAUACGGUUUCCCCUUUGGGGCGGGUUCACAGGUGGUGCAUGGUUGUCGUCAGCUCGUGUCGUGAGAUGUUGGGUUAAGUCCCGCAACGAGCGCAACCCUCGUUCCAUGUUGCCAGCACGUAAUGGUGGGGACUCAUGGGAGACUGCCGGGGUCAACUCGGAGGAAGGUGAGGACGACGUCAAAUCAUCAUGCCCCUUAUGUCUUGGGCUUCACGCAUGCUACAAUGGCCGGUACAAUGGGUUGCGAUACUGUGAGGUGGAGCUAAUCCCAAAAAGCCGGUCUCAGUUCGGAUUGGGGUCUGCAACUCGACCCCAUGAAGUCGGAGUCGCUAGUAAUCGCAGAUCAGCAACGCUGCGGUGAAUACGUUCCCGGGCCUUGUACACACCGCCCGUCAAGUCACGAAAGUUGG
rnacentral:rRNA from 1 species